rnacentral:rRNA from 1 species
UACGAAGGGGGCUAGCGUUGCUCGGAAUCACUGGGCGUAAAGCGCACGUAGGCGGCUUUCUAAGUCAGGGGUGAAAUCCUGGAGCUCAACUCCAGAACUGCCUUUGAUACUGGAGAGCUCGAGUCCGGAAGAGGUCGAGUGGAACUGCGAGUGUAAGAGGUGAAAUUCGUAGAUAUUACGCAAGAACACCAGUGGCGAAGGCGGACUCACCUGGUCCGGUACUAGGACGCUGAGACGCGAAAAGCGUCG